UACGAAGGGGGGCUAGCGUUGUUCGGAUUUACUGGGCGUAAAGCGCACGUAGGCGGAUUGGUCAGUUAGGGGUGAAAUCCUGGAGCUCAACUCCAGAACUGCCUUUAAUACUGCCAGUCUCGAGUCCGGAAGAGGUAAGUGGAACUCCUAGUGUAGAGGUGGAAUUCGUAGAUAUUAGGAAGAACACCAGUGGCGAAGGCGGCUUACUGGUCCGGUACUGACGCUGAGGUGCGAAAGCGUGGGGAGCAAACAGG
rnacentral:rRNA from 1 species